rnacentral:misc_RNA from 1 species
AACGGAUCGCGAGUAGAGUCCUCGGACUCGAAAGCUCACCGUAAGUCGCAAGCCUCGCACGUCGAUAUCCCAACUCGAUUUUCUUCUGCCGAUCGGCACUCUCAGGGGUGCCGAUCGUCGUCAGCCCCCGGGCGGUUCUGCCGGUCGCGGGCCGACGGCGCUGAUUGACAACGGAAGUGUGGUAGAUCGUGGGAAACGAAUCUCAUGCGAGAUGACAUAUCGCAAGAUUGUCACUCGACGUAGAUCGCGCGUGCUCUGCUUGAACUAUUUGAUGUAGUCAAGCGAGCGAGGGCAUGUGGGGGAUGCCUGGGCACACGGAGGCGAUGAAGGCCGUGGUAAGCUGCGAUAAGCCAGGGGGAGCGGCACACACGCAUUGAUCCCUGGAUGG